rnacentral:rRNA from 1 species
UACGUAGGGGGCAAGCGUUGUUCGGAAUUACUGGGCGUAAAGGGCGCGUAGGCGGCAUGGCAAGUCGGGAGUGAAAGCCCGGGGCUCAACCCCGGAGGGUCUCUCGAAACUGCCAAGCUAGAGUGCGGAAGAGGCAACUGGAAUUCCCAGUGUAGCGGUGAAAUGCGUAGAUAUUGGGAAGAACACCGGAGGCGAAGGCGGGUUGCUGGGCCGACACUGACGCUGAGGCGCGAAAGCCAGGGGAGCAAACGGG